UUUUAAGCCCAAUUUUCUAAACCAAUAACCAAUCCCUAACCUACUCUGAUUAAACCCAAACAAUGCAAAGUUAACUCCAACAAAAAACUUGUCCAAAAAAAUCGAAAGGGGAGAAGAUUGAGAAUGAACCCUAGAUCUACUAGCCGCCGCGGUACUAAUCUCUUCGCCAUUGUCACCAUCAGGCAUCAAGCUCACCGUAGCGUCUGAGAUGAAAGGGAGAGUAACCGGCGACGCCCGCGACGCCAUCCUUCCCAAGGUCCAGGAGCAGGUUUCCAUCCUCAACUCCACUUUCUCAUGGAAGGAGUCAGAUCGAGCCGCCGCCAAGCGCGCCACUCACACGCUCGCCGAUCUUGCCAAAAAUGGUGUAAGUCCUUCAAUGGUUGUGUCUUGCAGAGGAAGUGGUGAACGCGAUUAUCGAAUGAGGAGCUAUUCCGGCUUUAGUUCAACAAUCAGCACCUCCAAGCUCCUCUCGUCACGGAAGAAGACCUCAUUCAGAAGCUGUUGCGUUUGAGUAUGAGGUUGAGAAAGUGAAAGUAGUAAUGGAAUCAAAGUGCUUAAUGCUAAAAACACAAUGCAGAAAGCAAAGGAAAAGAAUCUAAAGGGUUACAGAGAGAAGCAACAAUUCUCCACAGAGUCUUCAAUAACUUCUAUGUGUGUGGUGGAAACUGCAGGUCCGCUAUUUGCAAUUUCUGGAACAAUUUCUGCUUAUGAGAGCUUGACUCUUCGAGGUUAUGAUGUUGUUGCUGUUGUUUUGGAAGAUCACGGCCUUCUAAAUGAGGGUCGAAUAAUGUCUUAUAUGCGGAACAAGCUUCCUGUUCUAGUGCUACCCCCUGUUCCAAAAGGUUUGUUUCGAGUGGAAUAUUUGGUUUCAUCCUCAAAACUUUUUUUAUUAAUUGCCAUUUGUCUUUUAUCUUUUGUUAUUACUAUAUUUAUCUAUUUAGUUAUUUUUAAUAAUGCUUCUUAAAUCUAUAAAUUUUUAUUUUGCAAUACUACGUGGAAUAUCUUAAGAGACCGAACUAUCUUGAACUUGUUGCACUUAGUUUUUAUUUUAGAAUUAGAGUCAUGAAUUCGAUACAAUUACUACAGGUGUCAUUAUAUGGUGAUAAGUGAUAACUUGUUACUACAUGAUUCUAGUUUGUUGGUUUUUUUAAAGGCUCAGAGCACAGAAGUUGUAGCUCUGCUAUUUGAUGCCUGUGCUAGUUGGUGGACUCAAGGACCUAAUGCUAUAUUACAGAUUAUGCUUCUAGAAGCCGUUGUAAUAGUUAUGGCACCAAGAGACAGUUCAAGGUGAAGACAGUGGCUCGGAUUGUGGAAAGUGAUGCAAGGAAAGUAAUUUGCAAGGAAGUAGAGAGGAUCAAACCUGUGGCUGUAGUUCUGGGAUCAAGAGGCAGAAGCUUAAUUCAGAGUGUGCUACAGGGAAGUGUUGGAGAGUACUGCUUCCACCACUGCAAAGCAGCACCUGUUGUCAUCGUUCCUAGAAAAGAUGCUGGAGAUGCAUCAAUAUUGUAGUGAAGCUUUGUACGUAUGUCAAUUGGCCUUGUUAAUAUAUCUAACAGUCAUGUUUAGUGAAAUGAAGAUUGGUUCUGACUCAUUUUCACCAAGAAUAGAGAUGUUUUUCUUGCAUAUUUUCACAUGUUAACCACUAGCAUGUUAUUAAUUCAAUGGCUUAGUAACUCAUUUUCUCAUUGUGCUAUUUAGACUUUCUUUGAUGUUACAAAGCAUCUGGACAACUUUAUUUUUUGAAUAGGUUUAUUUGAGUUGCUGUUAGAUUCUACUGGUAUAAAUAUACUAUUCAUUUGUAGUUGUAAUUAAU